UACCGAUACAAAAAAAAAAAAAAACCGAAUAAACGAAAUAGGAGGAGAGCAGACAAGAGCGCGCUUGAGGUUCGCGGAACUGCCUCCACCCCUCCCUCAAACCGAUCAAACGUCCCAAAAAAGAAAGAAAUAUCCUCCCAAAAAAAAUCCCCACCACCGGGAUCAAAACCGCAGAUCCCUCUCUCGCCUUCCUCUUUUUUCUCAUGCGACGGUUGGCCACUCCUCAGCCCUAGGGUUUGAUGCCGUCCGAGCCAUUGAUGUCCUCUAGAUGGACGGCGCCUACCCGUUCUCCCUCCGCUCCAUCUUGAUCGCCGCCGGAGCCACCGCUUUGUGCUGUCUCUGCUCUCUCUGGGCCCUCCGAUCGGUAUCCGCAGGGGUCUUCAAGAAGGCUGGGGCGAUCAGGAACAACAGGAAGUCCUGCGGGUGUGCGUGCUCCUCGUGCGGCGGCGGGGACUCCGGCAACGCUCGGGCGAACGGCGAGAUGGCGGUGGGCCGCGAAAAGAAGGCUGCGGCAGCGGAGCGGCAGGCCGGGGGUUCGAUGAUGGAGCAGCUGGUGCCGGAGAUCACCACUCACGCGCUCAGCUAUCUGGACUACACCAGCCUCUGCCGCCUCUCCAUGACCAAUUCCGCCAUGAGGAGGGCUGCCAAUGAUGAUGGGGCCUGGAAAGCCCUCUAUCACAAGGAUUUUUCAUUGGAACAGGACAAUAUCACACCAGUUCAUGGAUGGAAGUCUUAUUAUGCUGCUACCAGAGCCAUUGUUAGUGUCAAUGCGGAGUUCUUUAACAUCAUUAGAGAAAGAUCUUUGACUGCAAUGAGUCGCUUUUGGCUUAAUGCAGACUAUGUGAAGUGCGUACAUGGCUCUGGAGAGCUAUUUACAGGUGUGGUCUAGACCAAUCUUACGUCAAGAUCUGCAAUUCCAUGGAUAACUUUGGAAUGUUGGACAUCGGCAACCAUUCCAAUUGCAGGGCAUUCAUCCUUAUGCUUCUUCUUAUGCACUGCUGGGGUUUAUGGUACGCUGCAGUGAUUGACAGUUGGGCUAUGGCAUUCAACUGGGAUCAGGGAGGUGGUCAAGGUGUUGCCUUUCAGAUUAGGGAUGUACGGGCUCGUGUGCUCAGUGACAUGGCGUGGGUUACUAUGAAUGCUUAUGUUGAUAUGGACUCAGGACCAUUCCAUAUGACCAAUAUCUAUGAGUUUCAUAAUGGGCGGUGGUAUAUGGUUCAUCACCACAGUUCGGUAAUGCUUGCCGAUGGGGAUCCAGGACCCCACAAUCUUUUUGGAUAAAGUGGAUAGGAAAUACACCAAUGGUAUUAUAGCUGAAUGUGGCAAAAGCUCUUGUUUCUUUCUCCUUCUAAGUUUAAAUUUUCUUGCUUUUUAGUUUUGCCAUUUCACCCCAUCAGGAAUUGUCUUUAUAAGCGCACCGGGCUAGACUGUUAAUAUAUGUUCAUCAUCUCUUUCCUGUCCAAAGGCCAUAGUAUAUUUUUUUAUUCUUUUGAGCUUUUCAUUUCAUCCUGAAAUGAUUCAGGACAGGAGAAGCUUUCAUUAGCUUUGUAUGGAUUAGCAAUGCGGUGGCAUGCUUAAACAGGAACAGGAAGAUUUUGUGAGCUAAUCAAUUGAAAACAUUUGAUGAGAA